AUUAUUUAGCACACUAAACCAUGACACUCGCACACACAUGUUGAAUUCCAAGAUCAUCAGUCGUAAAUACACGUCAGGUAUUGUCAUAAAUACUGAAUGGUGUUAUUAAAGAGACAGAAAAAAGAUUAAUUUAUUUUUUUUUCUUCAUCACUUUAAGUUGUGAGAGAGAUAUAAUAGCUUACAAUUAAAUACAUUGUGUGGUAAUGUCAAAAGUUUUUGUCUGGUCAGUUCGAAUGACACAAGUUUUAUUUUUUGAAUUUUUGAAUUAUUAAUUUAACAAUGAUAAUAAAAAAUAUAAUAAAUAAUUAGUCUAAAGUUUUAAUUUCCCAUGGAUUUUAUUAAUUUCAUACGUGCCAAAAAAAAAAAUGAUUUCGGAGUGAGUGCUCUUGAUGAUAUCAACGGCCUCCAGCAAGGUGAAGAAGAUGGUGUACAGAACAUUCCUUUGCAGGCUUGUGGUUAGAUAAAAUAAUCUUUUGAUGUACAAAAUAAAAAAUAACAAAUAAAUCACGAUGCCACAUGUUACAAGAAAAUGGGAAUUAUUCCCAGGACGAAAUAAAUUCUGCUGUGAUGGUAGAGUCAUGAUGGCACCACAAACUGGUGUAUUUUACUUAACUUUGUGCCUCAUUAAUUUAACGAGUGCUGUAUUUUUUAUUUUUGAUUGUCCAUACUUGGCGCUCCACAUAACUCCUGCAAUACCAGUGAUAGGUGGAUUACUUUUUAUGUUUGUAAUGUCAGCAUUAUUACGAACAAGUUUUAGUGACCCUGGUGUUAUACCUAGGGCGACACCUGAUGAGGCUGCAUAUAUUGAAAAACAAAUAGAAGUUCCUAACAAUGGUAACUCUCCAACGUAUCGACCGCCUCCACGUACAAAAGAAAUUUUGGUGAAGGGCCAGCCAGUUAAAUUAAAAUAUUGUUUUACUUGUAAAAUAUUUCGACCUCCAAGAGCGUCUCAUUGUAGUCUAUGUGACAACUGUGUUGAGGGAUUUGAUCAUCAUUGUCCAUGGGUUGGCAAUUGUGUAGGUCGAAGAAAUUAUAGAUAUUUUUAUGCAUUCAUUGUAUCCUUAGCCUUCCUAUGUGUUUUCCUUUUUGCUUGUGCAACAACACAUCUCAUUAUGCUUACGAGAGAUGAUAGACCAUUUUUAGAUGCUAUUAAAAAUUCACCAGGAAGUCUUUUCGUUGGUACUAUUUGCUUUUUUUCCGUUUGGAGUAUUUUAGGUCUUGCUGGAUUUCAUACUUACCUUACAAGCAGCAAUCAAACGACAAACGAAGACAUAAAAGGCUCAUUUUCAAGUAAAAGAGAACAAGAAAGUUUUAAUCCAUAUAGUCAUGGAAAUAUUUGUGGUAAUUGUUUUUACGUACUCUGUGGACCAGCUCCACCAAGCCUUAUCGAUCGACGAGGAAUUGUCACGCCCGGAUACAGAGCUGAACGUGAACGAACUGGUGAUGAUUAUGUAAUUGCCAAUAACAAAGCUUAUGGUACAGUUAAAAUUACGCAGCCACAAGCUAAUGGUCACAAUAUUCCAUCACAUGUAGAUAAUGAUUUGACUGGUUCAAUGAAUAAUCUUGUCUCAGGUCAACGUUCACCGCGCAUUGAAUCAUUAAACGGUGAGUUAACACUUAUGAACCAGUUACCACGUUGUCCCGUUGAAUUACCCAAGUAUCGUCAGUACACAAAUGAAGUAUACAUUCAAAAAUAUUCAACGCCGCGACGUUGUGCUCAAGAUCGCGUACAACCUGGUGAUGCUUAUGCUGCCGAAAUUGAACGUCUUAAUGCAGAAGUUCAAAAAUUUAAUUAUAAAUGUGAGGAAACUUUACAGAGAUAUCCACAAAGAUGCCGUGAAGAGUAUCAACGUUGUUCUGAAAAUAAUUUAAUACACAAUCAACAACAGUAUACUGUUGAACAAAAAUACGCGAUUGAUCUUAAAAAAUAUCGACGUGGAUACUCGGAAGAUUAUUUAAGAUAUGGUGGUAUUGAUGAUGAUGAUGAUAAUUACAGAAAAUCAAUUGAUUUACAAAAAUUUCCUCAACGUUAUUCUGAAGAUCCAUCACGACAAUAUCACUCACCACAAACUUUUAAAUACAAUAAUCUUAGAUGUAAUCAACAUGGCUUUAAAUAUCCAAUUACUAAGAAUAUUUUACCAAAUAGAAUAUUAGGCUCUGGUAAUAUUCCUAUGAUUGGUCAAAAUGCAAUUGGUCUAGUAGUUAAUAGAUUUGGUUCAGCGCCUUUAAAUUAUGAUAUGGCUUUUAUGGAUAAUAAUUCUAUUUGCCCAGGGAAAAAUGCCGAGGAUAAUUUAAUGAAUAGUCAUUUUAUUGUCAGCCCCCUAAAUGAUAACGAUUGACAAUGACUACUCACUACUCCGAGGCAUAUUAGCACUCACGUCCCUCGUUUUUCAUCGAGAAAUCGCAUUUUUCAUAACACCAAUGACAUUAAAUAAGUAAUUAAACUUAUUAAAAAAGAAAACAAUUACAUACAUACAUAUUUAUAUGAUAUGUAUAAACGUUUUAAGAGAUUAAUAUAUUCAAAAACUUCCAAGAGAUUUAAAAAAAUUAACAUAUUUAAACUAAAUAUAAUAGCUAUUAUUUUAACAAUAGUUUAGUAUCUUUAUAGAUAAACAUACACGCAAACUUUUAAUGCUAUAUAAAUCAAUAAAACGUGUUUCUUUGUUUAUAAUUACGACCUAUUAUCGAGGGCUCAAGUCCGUGAUUUUUGGUAGUACGACAAAUAGCGUAAGCCACCUCGUAUCCAACGAAAUGCCAUUGGCUUCAUUGAAUAUAACGCCAAUAGACAUUGAUGAGAUAGCACCAUUACCACCGAAACAGAGUGUAAUUAUUCCACCUGUAUUAGAUAC